rnacentral:rRNA from 1 species
UAAGCAUAUCAAUAAGCGGAGGAAAAGAAACCAACAGGGAUUGCCCUAGUAACGGCGAGUGAAGCGGCAACAGCUCAAAUUUGAAAUCUGGCUCCUUUGGGGUCCGAGUUGUAAUUUGUAGAGGGUGCUUUGGCGUUGGCUGUGGUCUAAGUUCCUUGGAACAGGACGUCACAGAGGGUGAGAAUCCCGUACGUGGCCGCCAGUCUUCGCCGUGUAAAGCCCCUUCGAUGAGUCGAGUUGUUUGGGAAUGCAGCUCUAAAUGGGAGGUAAAUUUCUUCUAAAGCUAAAUAUUUGCCAGAGACCGAUAGCGCACAAGUAGAGUGAUCGAAAGAUGAAAAGCACUUUGGAAAGAGAGUCAAAAAGCACGUGAAAUUGUUGAAAGGGAAGCGCUUGCAGCUAGACGUGCCUUGGGUUGAUCAGCCGGACUUUUGCCCGGUGCACUCUUCCUUUGGCAGGCCAGCAUCAGUUUGGGCGGCUGGAUAAAGGUCUGUUAAACGUGACUCCCUUCGGGGAGAGCUUAUAGGGCAGACGACAUGCAGCCAGCCUGAACUGAGGUCCGCGCAUCUGCUAGGAUGCUGGCGUAAUAGCUGUAAGCGGCCCGUCUUGAAACACGGACCAAGGAGUCUAACAUCUAUGCGAGUGUUUGGGUGUCAAGCCCGAGCGCGUAAUGAAAGUAAACGGAGGUGGGAACCUUUUAGGUGCACCAUCGACCGAUCCUGAUGUCUUCGGAUGGAUUUGAGUAAGAGCAUAGCUGUUGGGACCCGAAAGAUGGUGAACUAUGCCUGAAUAGGGUGAAGCCAGAGGAAACUCUGGUGGAGGCUCGCAGCGGUUCUGACGUGCAAAUCGAUCGUCAAAUUUGGGCAUAGGGGCGAAAGACUAAUCGAACUAUCUAGUAGCUGGUUCCUGCCGAAUUCCCCCUCAG